GAUUAAAGCCGGAUGGUUAAAGUGAAGAAGUGUCACGAGAGUUUUAUACGAUAGCAAGAUUCCCAAUAAGUUUAAAGGAAAAUUUUACCUUACAGUCAUACGACCGGCCAUUUUAUACGGUAGUGAUUGUUUGGCACUAAAGAAGUCGUAUGUGUCCAAGUUAAGAAUUGUGGAAAUGAGAAUGUUAAAGUUGAUGAGUGGUUAUACUAGACUAGACAAAGUCCGUAAUGAGAGUAUUAG
rnacentral:misc_RNA from 1 species